UACGUAGGGGGCAAGCGUUGUCCGGAAUCAUUGGGCGUAAAGCGCGUGUAGGCGGCUCGAUAAGUCUGCUGUGAAAGUCCAGGGCUCAACCCUGGGAUGCCGGUGGAUACUGUCGAGCUCGAGUCCGGAAGAGGCGAGUGGAAUUCCUGGUGUAGCGGUGAAAUGCGCAGAUAUCAGGAGGAACACCAAUGGCGAAGGCAGCUCGCUGGGACGGUACUGACGCUGAGGAGCGAAAGCAUGGGGAGCGAACAGG
rnacentral:rRNA from 1 species